GGAGUUAGGAAAUGUAGGUGCGAUAAUACCGUGCCUAUUUGACAAAGGCUCCAAAGGAAGCCACGGCUAACUCUGUGCCAGCAGCCGCGGUAAUACAGAGGUGGCAAGCGUUGUUCGGAAUCAUUGGGCGUAAAGAGCACGUAGGUGGAUUUGUUAGUCAGAUGUGAAAGCCUUCUGUUCAACGGAAGAAUCGCAUCUGAAACUACAAACCUUGAGUAUAGGAGGGGAGAGUGGAACUUCUG
rnacentral:rRNA from 1 species